UACGUAGGGGGCUAGCGUUGUCCGGAUUUAUUGGGCGUAAAGAGCGUGUAGGCGGCCAGGUAGGUCUGCUGUGAAAACUCGAGGCUCAACCUCGAGACGUCGGCGGAAACCAUCUGGCUAGAGUCCGGAAGAGGAGAGUGGAAUUCCUGGUGUAGCGGUGAAAUGCGCAGAUAUCAGGAAGAACACCCGUGGCGAAGGCGGCUCUCUGGGACGGUGCUGACGCUGAGACGUGAAAGCGUGGGGAGCAAACAGG
rnacentral:rRNA from 1 species